AUCCUUCGGCCCAACGAAAGCAGGAAAUUCAUCCUCCUGGGAACGUGUGCACCGGGCCUUGAAGGAAGCUGUUCUCCACCUCGGGUUCGGCAGUAUUCUAAGUCACCUUUUCUGUGGUGUAGCCAAUGAAUUGCUCUCUCCUUUCCUCUUCUUCUGCAGCCCCACCCACUACCACCAGUACGGCGCCAACACCAUCAUCUCCAGGUAAGUGCAUUACCGAGGAACAAGUCCGAGUCUGUUGAAUGGUCUGCUUUCCCACCAAAUUGCCUUUGGACACUCCACCACCUGUUGAUUGCAAUUCUUUUCCUUUCCAGUCACAACCGUCCCCAGCAGCACACCGAGAACUUCGUCCACCACUUCGCUGACCACCACCUCAAGCACCACUGUCUCCACAGUGCCAUCCACCAUUAGCACGCCCAGGACGACCCCCACCACUAAGCACCGCAUCCCUGCCACUACCACCUCUCCAACAUCCAGCCCCACGCCACUGCCCCCAACCACAACGACAAGCGUCCCCACCACCUUAUCCACCAUGACUACUACACCCAGCACACCCACACCAAUCACAACCAUUAGUGUCCCCACAUCUUCCCACACCCCUCCUACUUCCACCCCUUUGACUACAACGAAACUUGUCUCCACCUCCGUGCCCACCUUCACCACGCCUACCACCACCACCCAUGUGAGCGCCAUCACUCUAACCACUACCAUUCCCACACCCACCUCUACAGAAACUACAACAACCACAACCUCUACCACACCUGCUCUCACUUCUGUCAUAAGUACUAGAGUUCCUACUCCAUUCCACAAUACUACCAUCAUAACCGCUACUCCACCACCUAUCACUAGAGUCCCUCAACCUCAAACAGGUAAAUGUGAACCUAUUAAAUACGAGGAGCGAGUGAGUUACAAGAAUUGCUCUAAAACUGUUAUUCUGACGCGCUGCGAAGGAAUGUGUCCAUCAUCAGCAAAGACGAAUAUUGCCAAGAAGACAGUAGACACGGUGUGUGGAUGCUGCGCACCACGAACAAUCACCAUGAAGACGGUGGAGCUGUCUUGCCUGGAUUCAGAUAAACCACUGAUUAUGGAAAUCCCCUUUUUCGAUGACUGCAUAUGCAACUAUGAUGGAUGCACACACACUAGCCAGAUCUAACAAUACAAGCUGUAGAGGAAUUUGUCAAAACACACAAUCAGCUAUGUCUGGAACUCCAACCUGCUUGUGUAUAUGAAUGUGUACAUACUUUGGCAAGGAUAAUCAGGGUACGCUCUCCAGAAGACUGGUACUGGUAACUGGUUGCGUUAACUUAUUCAUAGUUUGGGAGACUGAGAAGAUGAAGAAAGUACUGCCUUUUUCAGAAGGUUUUCACCAGUCAUGUUUAUCUGUGUGUUAUAACAUAGUUAUUAGUUUUAAUAAAGAUAUUAGCUAGCCAUUCUGAUUUCUGAUG
rnacentral:lncRNA from 1 species